rnacentral:rRNA from 1 species
UACGGGGGGGGCAAGCGUUGUUCGGAAUUACUGGGCGUAAAGGGCUCGUAGGUGGCCAACUAAGUCAGACGUGAAAUCCCUCGGCUUAACCGGGGAACUGCGUCUGAUACUGGAUGGCUUGAGUUCGGGAGAGGGAUGCGGAAUUCCAGGUGUAGCGGUGAAAUGCGUAGAUAUCGAGAGGAACACCUGCGGCGAAGGCGGGUUGCUGGGCUGAUACUGACGCUGAGGCGCGAAAGCUAGGGGAGCGAACGGG